UACGUAGGGACCGAGCGUUGUCCGGAAUCAUUGGGCGUAAAGAGCGUGUAGGCGGCCACUUAAGUCCUGCGUGAAAUCUUGCGGCUCAACCGCAAGCGGUCGUGGGAAACUGGGUGGCUAGAGUGCGGGAGAGGAGAGUGGAAUUCCUGGUGUAGCGGUGGAAUGCGCAGAUAUCAGGUGGAACACCCAUGGCGAAGGCAGCAAACUGGUCCGUAUCUGACGCUGAGGCGCGAAAGCGUGGGUAGCAAACAGG
rnacentral:rRNA from 1 species